rnacentral:rRNA from 1 species
UACGUAGGGGGCUAGCGUUGUCCGGAAUCAUUGGGCGUAAAGCGCGCGUAGGCGGCCCGGUAAGUCCGCUGUAAAAGUCAAAGGCUCAACCUUUGAAUGUCAGUGGAUACUGCCGGGCUAGAGUCCGGAAGAGGCUAGUGGAACUCCUGGUGUAGCGGUGGAAUGCGCAGAUAUCAGGAAGAACACCGACGGCGAAGGCAGCUCGCUGGGACGGUACUGACGCUGAGGCGCGAAAGCGUGGGGAGCGAACAGG